rnacentral:rRNA from 1 species
GAACGAACGCUGGCGGCAUGCCUAACACAUGCAAGUCGAACGAAGGCUUCGGCCUUAGUGGCGCACGGGUGCGUAACGCGUGGGAAUCUGCCCUUGGGUUCGGAAUAACAGCGGGAAACUGCUGCUAAUACCGGAUGAUGACGUAAGUCCAAAGAUUUAUCGCCCAAGGAUGAGCCCGCGUAGGAUUAGCUAGUUGGUGGGGUAAAGGCCCACCAAGGCGACGAUCCUUAGCUGGUCUGAGAGGAUGAUCAGCCACACUGGGACUGAGACACGGCCCAGACUCCUACGGGAGGCAGCAGUGGGGAAUAUUGGACAAUGGGCGAAAGCCUGAUCCAGCAAUGCCGCGUGAGUGAUGAAGGCCUUAGGGUUGUAAAGCUCUUUUACCCGGGAUGAUAAUGACAGUACCGGGAGAAUAAGCUCCGGCUAACUCCGUG